UGCAAGUCGAACGGAAGUCGUUAUAAAAGGAGAGAAGAUUUAUCGGAUUGAAUUUUAUAACAAUGGCUUUAGUGGCGGACUGGUGAGUAACGCGUAAGGAACCUACCUAUUAGAGGGGAACAACAAUGAGAAAUCAUUGCUAAUACCGCAUAUGCCAUAACUACCGCAUGGUAGAAGUGGGAAAGGAGUAAUUCGCUGAUAGAUGGCCUUGCGUCUGAUUAGUUAGUUGGUGGGGUAACGGCCUACCAAGACGACGAUCAGUAGCCGGACUGAGAGGUUGAACGGCCACAUUGGGACUGAGAUACGGCCCAGACUCCUACGGGAGGCAGCAGUCGGGAAUAUUGCGCAAUGGAGGAAACUCUGACGCAGUGACGCCGCGUGCAGGAAGAAGGUUUUCGGAUUGUAAACUGCUUUAGACAGGGAAGAGAAAGGACAGUACCUGUAGAAUAAGCUCCGGCUAACUACGUGCCAGCAGCCGCGGUAAUACGUAGGGAGCGAGCGUUAUCCGGAUUUAUUGGGUGUAAAGGGUGCGUAGACGGGAAUACAAGUUAGUUGUGAAAUACCUCGGCUUAACUGAGGAACUGCAACUAAAACUAUAUUUCUUGAGUACAGGAGAGGUAAGUGGAAUUCCUAGUGUAGCGGUGAAAUGCGUAGAUAUUAGGAGGAACACCAGUGGCGAAGGCGACUUACUGGACUGAAACUGACGUUGAGGCACGAAAGUGUGGGGAGCAAACAGGAUUAGAUACCCUGGUAGUCCACACCGUAAACGAUGGAUACUAGGUGUAGGAGAUAUUAAGUCUUCUGUGCCGUCGCAAACGCAGUAAGUAUCCCACCUGGGGAGUACGGCCGCAAGGUUGAAACUCAAAGGAAUUGACGG
rnacentral:rRNA from 1 species